GCCGGUGUAGCUCAGGGGUAGAGCAACUGAUUCGUAACCAGUAGGCCAGCGGUUCAAUUCCGCUCACCGGCA
rfam:Prochlorococcus marinus subsp. marinus str. CCMP1375 complete genome.